CUCAGGUGCUGUUGUAGGCGGAAAAAAAUAUCUUCAACUGUGAAUGCCAGUAGCCAGAGGAUAAUCGGGUGUUUGUGUGGAAAUGCAAAUGAAGACAACAGCUACCACAGACAGCAGCUCUGAUAGGCUCCUUCUGUUCUCAGUAGUUAUCCAGAUCUAUUUUCUUCAUACACAAAUCCCAGAAUUCCUGCUUUGGAGAAACAAAGAUGACUUCAGUGAAUGGAAAGCCUGCUUAGAUCUUGAGAACUGGCCAGUCGAGGGGAGCUUCCAGUCUGUGUGGAUCAGAUGAGACAAGACCCAGUUUCCAUCCUCAAGUUUAGUUCUUGGCUUGCUGCAGGUAUGAGUCUCACUAUCCUGGUGGGCUGCGCCCUGAGCUGUGCAUCAGUUUUCAGGGCAGUGAUCUACUGAAUGUAAAUACUGCAUCA
rnacentral:lncRNA from 1 species